GGAAGUAAAAGUCGAAACAAGGUUUCCGUAGGUGAACCUGCGGAAGGAUCAUUAAUGAGUUGUCAUGGGGUUCGAUGCUGGCAGCCAGUUUUUGGAUGCAUGUGCUUGCCCUAACAAUCAUCUUCUUCCAAACACCUGUGCACAUUUUUGAGGGAGUCUUGAGUUGGUUGCCGCUCUUGGGUGAUUUUCUCACAUUCCCUUAAAUCAUUAUACGCUAUUAACAAUGUUGAACGUGCUCUGUGCCGCAAGGCCAUUAAUAUAAUACAACUUUUAACAACGGAUCUCUUGGCUCUC
rnacentral:misc_RNA from 1 species